rnacentral:rRNA from 1 species
GUCCUACGGGACGCAGCAGUGGGGAAUAUUGGGCAAUGGGGGGAACCCUGACCCAGCGACGCCGCGUGAGGGAAGAAGGUUUUCGGAUUGUAAACCUCUGUCCUUGGUGACGAUAAUGACGGUAGCCAAGGAGGAAGCCACGGCUAACUACGUGCCAGCAGCCGCGGUAAUACGUAGGGGGCAAGCGUUAUCCGGAUUUACUGGGUGUAAAGGGAGCGUAGACGGCAGCGCAAGUCUGGAGUGAAAUCCCAUGGCUUAACCAUGGAACUGCUUUGGAAACUGUGCAGCUGGAGUGCAGGAGAGGG